AAUCUCGAUGUUUUCUAUGGUUGUACUUGUGCUUAACCUACUCACUCGCUUAGCAAGCUCAUCUUCAACAUCAUGCAUAUCAUCCUUGCCAUUUACUACCAUGACAGGCACUUCCAUGGACAGGGACAUUUUGCGGUGACUGAGUUUGAGACUGAAUUUGUGAAACAGAUGAAGCGUCAUCUGAGAGUAAUUCCUGCUCAGCAUCU
rnacentral:lncRNA from 1 species